rfam:Triticum aestivum genome assembly, contig: Triticum_aestivum_CS42_TGACv1_scaffold_094445_2AL
CAUAUACUCCCUCCGUCCGAAAAUACUUGUCUCGGAAAUGGUUGUAUCUAGACUUAUUUUAGUUAUAGAUACAUCCAUUUUAUCCAUUUAUAGGACAAGUAUUUCCGGACGGAGGGAGUAUGUU